UACAGAGGUCCCAAGCGUUGUUCGGAUUCAUUGGGCGUAAAGGGUGUGUAGGUGGCGCCGUAAGUCGGGUGUGAAAUUUCGGAGCUUAACUCCGAACCUGCAUUCGAUACUGCGGUGCUUGAGGACUGGAGAGGAGACUGGAAUUCAUGGUGUAGCAGUGAAAUGCGUAGAGAUCAUGAGGAAGACCAGUGGCGAAGGCGGGUCUCUGGACAGUUCCUGACACUGAGACACGAAGGCCAGGGGAGCAAACGGGG
rnacentral:rRNA from 1 species